GGAAUAGAUAUGGAUGGUGAUCCUGCUUGGC
rnacentral:piRNA from 1 species